rnacentral:tRNA from 1 species
GGUUGUAGCUCAGUGGUAGAGUACUUGCCUAGCAUGUGUGAGUCCCUGGGUUCGAUCCCCAGCACCA